rnacentral:rRNA from 1 species
GACGUAGGGCGCGAGCGUUGUCCGGAUUUAUUGGGCGUAAAGAGCUCGUAGGCGGCUUGUCGCGUCGACCGUGAAAACUCGCAGCUCAACUGCGAGCCUGCGGUCGAUACGGGCAGGCUAGAGUUCGGUAGGGGAGACUGGAAUUCCUGGUGUAGCGGUGAAAUGCGCAGAUAUCAGGAGGAACACCGAUGGCGAAGGCAGGUCUCUGGGCCGAUACUGACGCUGAGACGCGAAAGCUAGGGGAGCAAACGGG